rnacentral:rRNA from 1 species
GGGGAAUCUUCCGCAAUGGACGAAAGUCUGACGGAGCAACGCCGCGUGAGUGAUGACGGCCUUCGGGUUGUAAAGCUCUGUUAAUCGGGACGAAAGGUCCUCUUGCGAAUAGUUAGAGGAAUUGACGGUACCGGAAUAGAAAGCCACGGCUAACUACGUGCCAGCAGCCGCGGUAAUACGUAGGUGGCAAGCGUUGUCCGGAAUUAUUGGGCGUAAAGCGCGCGCAGGCGGAUCAGUCAGUCUGUCUUAAAAGUUCGGGGCUUAACCCCGUGAUGGGAUGGAAACUGCCAAUCUAGAGUAUCGGAGAGGAAAGUGGAAUUCCUAGUGUAGCGGUGAAAUGCGUAGAUAUUAGGAAGAACACCAGUGGCGAAGGCGACUUUCUGGACGAAAACUGACGCUGAGGCGCGAAAGCCAGGGGAGCGAACGGGAUUAGAUACCCCGGUAGUCCUGGCCGUAAACGAUGGGUACUAGGUGUAGGAGGUAUCGACCCCUUCUGUGCCGGAGUUAACGCAAUAAGUACCCCGCCUGGGGAGUACGACCGCAAGGUUG